AACGAACGCUGGCGGCAGGCCUAACACAUGCAAGUCGAGCGAGGACUUCGGUCCUAGCGGCGGACGGGUGAGUAACGCGUGGGAACGUGCCCCUUGGUACGGAAUAGCCCCGGGAAACUGGGAGUAAUACCGUAUGAGCUCUACGGAGGAAAGAUUUAUCGCCAAGGGAUCGGCCCGCAUUGGGUUAGGUAGUUGGUGGGGUAAUGGCCUACCAAGCCGACGAUCCAUAGCUGGUUUGAGAGGAUGAUCAGCCACACUGGGACUGAGACACGGCCCAGACUCCUACGGGAGGCAGCAGUGGGGAAUCUUAGACAAUGGGCGCAAGCCUGAUCUAGCCAUGCCGCGUGAGCGAUGAAGGCCUUAGGGUUGUAAAGCUCUUUCAGCUGGGAAGAUAAUGACUGUACCAGCAGAAGAAGCCCCGGCUAACUCCGUGCCAGCAGCCGCGGUAACAC
rnacentral:rRNA from 1 species